AUUGAACGCUGGCGGCAGGCCUAACACAUGCAAGUCGAGCGAGCGGCGGACGGGUGAGUAUUGUAUGGGGACUGCCCGAUAGAGGGGGAUAACUACUGGAAACGGUGGCUAAUACCGCAUACUAUCGGAUAACCCAUAUGGGAUUAGCGAGUAGGCGGGGUAAAGGCUCACCUAGGCGACGAUCUCUAGCUGGUCUGAGAGGAUGAACAGCCAAACUGGGCGUGAGACACAGCCGCUACUCCUACGGAGUCAGCAGUGGGGAAUAUUGCACAAUGGGCGCAAGCCUGAUGCAGCCAUGCCGCGUGUAUGAAGAAGGCCUUAGGGUUGUAAAGUACUUUCAGCGGGGAGGCGUUACCCGCAGAAGAAGCACCGGCUAACUCCGUGCCAGCAGCCGCGGUAAUUC
rnacentral:rRNA from 1 species